rnacentral:rRNA from 1 species
GAUGAACGCUAGCGACAGGCCUAACACAUGCAAGUCGAGGGGCAGCGCGGGGUAGCAAUACUUUGGCGGCGACCGGCGCACGGGUGCGUAACACGUAUGCAACCUACCCGUAAUCGGGGGAUAGCCUUCUGAAAGGAAGAUUAACACCGCAUAAUACCAGUAUCUCGCAUGGGAAGCUGGUUAAAUAUUCAUAGAUUACGGAUGGGCAUGCGCAGGAUUAGCUGGUUGGCGGGGUAACGGCCCACCAAGGCAACGAUCCUUAGGGGUUCUGAGAGGAAGGUCCCCCACACUGGUACUGAGACACGGACCAGACUCCUACGGGAGGCAGCAGUGAGGAAUAUUGGUCAAUGGACGAGAGUCUGAACCAGCCAUGUCGCGUGCAGGAUUACAGCCCUACGGGUUUUAAACUGCUUUUAUACGGGGAUAAAAAAGGCUACGUGUAGUCUAUUGUAGGUACCGUAUGAAUAAGGAUCGGCUAACUCCGUGCCAGCAGCCGCGGUAAUACGGAGGAUCCGAGCGUUAUCCGGAUUUAUUGGGUUUAAAGGGUGCGUAGGCGGACUCGUAAGUCAGUGGUGAAAGUUUGCAGCUCAACUGUAAAAUUGCCAUUGAAACUGUGGGUCUUGAGUAUAGUGGAAGUAGGCGGAAUGUGUAGUGUAGCGGUGAAAUGCAUAGAUAUUACACAGAACACCGAUUGCGAAGGCAGCUUACUAUAGUACAACUGACGCUGAAGCACGAAAGCGUGGGGAUCAAACAGGAUUAGAUACCCUGGUAGUCCACGCCGUAAACGAUGAUAACUCGCUGUUUGCGAUAUACAGUAAGCGGCCAAGCGAAAGCGAUAAGUUAUCCACCUGGGGAGUACGCCGGCAACGGUGAAACUCAAAGGAAUUGACGGGGGCCCGCACAAGCGGAGGAACAUGUGGUUUAAUUCGAUGAUACGCGAGGAACCUUACCCGGGCUUGAAAUGUAUCUGACGAACUUGGAAACAGGUUUUCUAGCAAUAGCAGAUAUGUAGGUGCUGCAUGGUUGUCGUCAGCUCGUGCCGUGAGGUGUCGGCUUAAGUGCCAUAACGAGCGCAACCCCUAUCGUUAGUUACUAACAGGUUAAGCUGAGGACUCUAGCGAGACUGCCACCGUAAGGUGUGAGGAAGGUGGGGAUGACGUCAAAUCAGCACGGCCCUUACGUCCGGGGCGACACACGUGUUACAAUGGGAGGUACAGAGGGCAGCUACCUGGCGACAGGAUGCCAAUCUUUCAAAGCCUCUCUCAGUUCGGAUCGGAGUCUGCAACUCGACUCCGUGAAGCUGGAUUCGCUAGUAAUCGCGCAUCAGCCAUGGCGCGGUGAAUACGUUCCCGGGCCUUGUACACACCGCCCGUCAAGCCAUGGAAGCCGGGGGUACCUAAAGUUCGUAACCGAUAAGGAGCGACCUAGGGUAAAACUGGUAACUGGGGCU